CAUCCCUGUUUUCUGAGACUGUUCAAUCUGAAAUUGCUUGUUGAAUAGAUGGAGCCUCUGUCUGUAGACUGCUGGCAAAAGCUUGGGAUGUCCUCAGACUAGGCCUGGCCUGUUUGUGCAUUUCAUCUGCAAAGGAGGUUUUUUGGGAUUGGCCUACAUGGAUGUAUAAAGGUCACAGAAGCAGGAAAACACAGGAAUUACUGCUUGACCUGAAAGAUAAAGCUGCAGAUUUUAGGACAGCUGUGCUCAUGAUUGUUUAUAUUGUGCCAGGCUAAGGGCAGCUGUACCCCUAUGGGAUCAUGGUACUGAGAAGCUGUAUGGGAAUUCAGGAGAUUGGUGCUUCAUCCCCUACACUGAGCUGAUCAGCUGUAUCCUAGACCAUCCUCAAUGCAAAUGCUGUUCUAAAACAGAAAGGGCAUACAAGAAGAAAGUCCAUAUGAAUAUGUUGGUGGAAACUAUACAAAAGAAUACAAAAAAGUAAAUACUGCAUUCAGAUUGAUAUGCUGGAAUAAAAUCAGCCAAACCUCUAUACCUGAUGUGCUGUUUCACAAAGCUACUGGAGAUGCUAGAGGUCAAUGGACAAGGGUCACCCAGUGUUUAUAAAAAGCCAAGCAGCUGAAAUCAAUGAAGGCUCCAGCUUUUUGGUGAUUGACUGCUUCUGCUGAGCUGGCUACUGAAAGCAGAGUGUGAGCUGGAAAGUCUGAUAAUUCAUUAACAUGUGUGAAACAGGUUUCUGAGCUCCUUCACCAGCAGCCCUUGGAACAGCCUUGUGGCAGGAAUGGAGCAAAUGGAGAAUGCUUAACUGGGGGAGCAAAUUCAUGCUCAAGCAGAGAAGGAAUUAUUUUACAUUGUCAUUAGAUGUCAGAAAGUUUAUCUGUGUUCUUUCAGAAACAGCCAAAGCACCAGCCCUCCUAACCCCCAGGUGAAAGUCACACUAGUAACAGUAAGAAAACUUUCCAUAUUUAUUUGUGAGACACGUGAGAAUCAUAAUGUGUCUACAAGAGCUUUGAAGUGAGACACAAUGAUAGGACAGCAAGGAAAACCAAGAUUUGGAGAGGUAAAUUGUAUAAAUGAUUCCUGGAAAAUAUUCUUAAGGAAGGUUUGGUAUCCUUGCUGCCAGAUUUUCUGUGAGAAAACGUUUCUCUGUGAGGAAAAAAGAUGGAAAAUAUAGCUUGUAAUUGAAUGUAAAACUGGAGGCUUACAUUACUUUUUUGUCAAACAGGUCUCACUUUGUUUCAGAGUAUGAGAUGUAGGACCAGGGCAUAGCACAAUACACUAACUGUAAUCUACAAAUAAUCCCUCAGAUACAAAGGGAAGUAAUAUAAUGCUUUAAAAAACCAAAAAGUCAUCUGGAUAGCUGAUAGAAAACUUAAUCAAUUCUUACAGACAUUUAAAAUAAAAGCAGAAUUGUCUGCAGGAAGUGAACUAGUCCCAGAAGAAAAGGAAACAGUUAUUUUGAGGAAAAUGUGGAGAUUUGAGAAAAAUCCCAAAGAACUCAUACUGAUAUUGUGCUGACCAAAAACAUGCAAGAAUAAUUGAAAAAAAAAAUUCAACACAAAGCAGAAACAGAAGAAAAAAAAUUUUUUUCAUUGUACAGAGAAUAUUAAGGAUAAACUUACAGUAAACUUGUGCUAAUUUCUGAGGCAGAGACUGAAAGCAUUUGGCAAUGGAAUUGUUUAAACACAGAGGUGACCAGGACAUGCUUGCAGCAACUAUUGCACCAGUUUUAUUAGUGAAAUUCAGCUAAAUAAUUAGUCAGCAAGGCAAUCAAUAACAACAGGAUAGCAUUAAAUGGCAACAUUUAUGAUAAAAUUGUUUCAUAUAGCAGAAGACAUGAAAUAUCCCAGGAAUUUCAGAUAUUGAAAGGUAUGGACGUCUCAUAGAUGCACUUGCAGCCUGUAUUAUUUGAAGGUCAAUGGAUUUAGAAAACUAUGUUGAAACAGCAAAGCAAACACUAAGGCAAAUGAACAUGGUGAAGACCCUAUCUUGGUUUACUUCACUAUGAAACCACACCUGUGCACCCAAGAGCCUCAGUGCAGUAUGGACCAGGAAGAUCACUUUGGCAAAAGGAAAUUUGAGGAUGUUCUCGUGAACACAUUAUAGGACUGUGAAGUGUGACAACAAAAAUGGUGAGGGUAAAGAAAUGUAACUGUCUAGCAAACCUUUAGAUGCCACCACCAAGCAGAGACAAAGAGGCCUCUCAUUUGCAGGCAAUGAAAACAAGAACUAGUGAAAGAUAUAAAAACUGUGGUUCAAGACAGAGAAGCCACAUUCACUCCAGGAUUACCAUCCUUCUGUUUUCUCAUGAACAGAAAUUAUUUCUCACUUAGAAAUGGUCUGGCACAAUAUAGAGAAACUGUAUAUUUAUCUAAGAUUUUCAGAUAUGCAGCAACCCUUUUCCUGGGAAAUCUGACAAUUGUGCAAUGACAGUGAGCAUGUGCAGUUGUGAAGAGAGGCGUGGCAUAGAAACGCCUCUCUUCAGAAACCCUGGACAUUCAGAACACAUUGGAGAUGGUGGCUCCAUGUGUAGAGCAGGCUUGGUGUUUCUCCAAGAAGCACAUCUAUAUGUGCACAGUUUGAUGGCAUAGCCCAGAAAUUCCAGUUUCAUUCUGCAGGUGAGGCACAGAUUACUUCUGUGUACAGUGACUCAAAACUGACAGUGCAUAACUCCAAUUCUAACUUGAAUAAUUGCAUAUGGGUAAGAGCAGUUUCCUCCAGCUCUCUGCCUUGUUUCCUUUCCAACAGUGACUACCAAGUAAGUUUCCUGAGAAGGUUGUAAGGGCCUUCUAGAAGCCCUCCCCAAAAUACCUUUUGAGUGUCUGCUGAUCAGUAAUUCUGUGACUUCCUAAACUAUUUGAUGUAGGUUUGUAUUGAAUAGUCCUAGGUGUCCUUUUGUUCCAUGAAUUUAUCAAAACCUUAUUUUGAAUUCAGGUCCAUUUUUAGCAUCCUCAGUGUCCUGGCACAAAAGUUCUCUUGGUUGAUAAUGUGAUGAGUAAAGGCACACAUCCUUUUGUUUGCCUGGAGACUGGCAUAUUCUGGCUUCAUUUGAUAUCUUCCAGAUUUUGAGCUGAAAGAAACAAUUAUUUCCUACUCACCUUAUUCAGGCCACUCCUGAUUUUACUGUUCUCUAGUAUAUGAUUUCUUUUUUGCAAAAAAAACACCUUAAUUAUUUUAUUGUUCUUCAUCCUGUAAUCACUCCAUAACUUUAGUCAUACUUGUUGCACUUAUCUGUAUCUUUUACAGGACUCUAUAUCUGUCUUCAGAUGGACACAUAACUAUAAACACUGCUGAAGAUGUGGAUAUGUAAUGUAUUUAUACAACAGAAAAAUAAUAUUUUAUGUUCUUGAUUCCUUUUGUGGUGAUUUCUAGCAAUGUUUGUCCUCAUUUUACAUUCCUCUGCAGUGAAUUUUUGUUGCCUAGUCAUUACAUACUAGGAAGUUCUUAUGUGAGUCUGCAAUCAGCCAUAGUCUCUAUCACUGACUAAUUCAGUGCCAUCAGCAAAUAUUUUCAUCCCUUUUUGACACUGUUUUCUGAUCCCUUGUGAUCUGUGUUGAGCAAUGCAGACUUCAGCACAAAGCCAUGUGGGAGGCCAUGUGUGAUCUCUUUCUACUGUGAGAGGCAACUAAUACUUAACCUCCUUUCUUCCCAUCUUCUGAACAUUUCUUCAUGUCUGAUUAGCUUCCUCAAGAGCCUCAAGGGAGGCAACUUUUUAAGUGCCUUCUGGAAAUCCAGACAGAUGGUAUCAAACAGAUCUGUGCUGCCAAUGUUUUCUUGACGUGUCAGAGGACUUUGGUAGGUGAAGCACAGCUUCUCUUUAGAAAAACCAUGCUGAAUCUUCCUCUUUGCACCAUAUUUAUCCUGGUAUCUACUAAUCUGUGGCUUAUUAUUGUUUUUUCUGUUUGAAUCAGUACAGGGCAUUAGUUCAGGAUAUUGAAGGUCUGCCCUGCAGACCUGCUUAAAAACUGGUAUCAAGGCAGUGAGCAAUAAGUUUAGCAAUGGCUUCUCCGGGCUGUCUCUAAGGGAGGUGAAUUAAAUGGAUACCUAAUUAGGCAGCUGGAUCUUUGCUUUUGAAGUAUAUGCAGGAGACAGCCCCAAGAUGCUGUCCCCAUGCUCUGGCAUGGGCUGAGCAGUGCUGCUGGGAUCACUGCAUUUGAGAAGCUUCUUAAUAAAAAUUCUGCUGAGUGUUUGCUCUCCUAUGGAUCUCCAUUUCUGUGAGCAGUAUAGAAGACAACCGUUCAUGUUUCAUUUAGAAUGAAACAAAGCAAAACCAAAAAAGUACUCAGACAACAUGUAGAUUUGCACUUAACCAGAGAUCAGGCUUUUCAGGAAUAGUGAAUUUUGCUGAGCGUAUUAAAAGGUUUAUUUGGUUAUACCAGUUUUACAGAAUGUGACUGUCGACUUGACUGGAUUUGUAUAAUACAAGUAAAGGCUAAAAUUAAAAGCAGAUUUAAAACAUGA